AACAAGCCAUCACUGGUAACAGUUCACAUCGCGCGUCACGCUUCAAAUUUUCAAUAAUCAAUUCGAUUUGAAAGUGCUGCUAUAUCAAACAUGGUGAAUAUCUCUCUGACGUGGAAUCAUUUAUGCUGUCCUGAACGUCAGUUUAUUAAUUCAACCACCAUCAACUCCUAUUCAACAUAACAAGAAACUACUUUGUUACAACACCAACAACAACAACUUAUACAACACUUAACUCCACUCAAAUCAAUAGCACUAACAACAAGGCCAAUUACAGCAACAACAACUGGAAAGCAUUACACUAAAGUGCUUUCAAUUGCUGCAAAUUAUAAAAUCACAACUCCAACAAUUCUCAGAGCUUUGCGACGCAGUCAACAAAAAUUACGCAUACGCUUAGUUGGCCAGCAAGCUUAGGCAGUGAUAAGAGUAUUAAUUUAGAGUCUAACUAGUAUAUCCCCAGUGUCCAGUGUCUACACAUCCAACUUUAAUUUAUUUCGCGUUUUUGUGCUUGUUUUGUCUGCAGCAUACUUAAUAAUUUAUUUAGUUGUAACUUAAUUUAUUGCAUACUUCUAAGGCAGCCGAGCUGAGCUGAGCUGAGCAGAGAAAAAACCCCUUGCAUUGUGUGGGGUUGUAAAAUUUAAUUUUUUUAUAUAAUUACUACUAGUACUUACGCUCAGUGUGUAACUGUCUGUGUGUGUGUCGAGCGCGGGACUGUACUUUUGCAUAAAAUAUUUUCACUAUGAAAAUAAGAACAAUGAGGUCUAAGCGCAAAUAUGGCUGUUUAAAAAAUAUUUGAAAAAAACUUCUCUU